rnacentral:lncRNA from 1 species
AAAACGUCAUAAAUAUAUGAUCAAACCACUUGCAAAUCUCCAAAUGUUAAAUCUUAGUUGGCAUUCAACUAAUUAUUAUUAUUAUUAUUAUUAUACAUAUAUUGAUAUCUUCUACAAAAAUAUGCAUACAUAUAUUUGUAUAUCCUUUUUUUUUUUUUUUUUUUUUUGUCUUUUUCUAUCUUCCAACAUUCUUUUGACUAUCAAAAUGGUAUCUUCUUCUUGAUACCACAAAUAUUAAAUAUCCAAAUCAAUUAAGCAGUUCAAAUUGGUCAUUUUGCAGCACAAAAAUAUCACAUAUACACAAGAAAUGGCUAGUUCUUGAUUUUUUUUUUGCUUUUUUUUUUUUUGCCCUAGAAUAUUUAGAACUUCAAUUUGAUUUUUAUCCCUGGAACUGAAGAUGUGGGCUCAAAAUCAGUUGCUGGUUCAAGAAUGGCUGGUUUAAGAAAUUGUAUUGAUGGUGAUGAGGCAUGUGAUCAGUUUGGUUGCUACUGUUAGUGAAACAGCAAGAAUUGAUGAUUUUCUUUGAUGGGUUAUGCAUGUCUUCUUGAUCAACAGUAGAAAUUGGGCGUUUGAGCUUGUUUUCCAUAUUUGGCAUCAAUGGACCAUUCAACUGUGGUAACUUUUGAAGCAAGAAACGAUUGCUGCUGCUGCCGCCGCCGCCGCCGCUGCCGCUGCCAUUAGCGGUAGGAGGGUUGUAGUUGUUGAAGAAAGGAUCUGAACUCGUUGCAUUAUUGAAUAAUGUUGGGGUUGAAUCAUACCCACUUGGAUUGAACUGGUUAUCUGAUAAGAAACUACUUAGCAUAGAGUAGUCCAUGGCAUCUAAUAGGUUUGAGAAAGAAACUGAUUUUUGGGGCAUAAGCGGUUUGUUGCUUAUUAUGGGAUUCUUCAAGCUUGGCGAAAGAGUUUCUUGAACAAAUUCUUCUUCUUCAUCUUCUUGAUCUUGAUCACUAG